UUUGCAUUGUAACCUAUUUCCUUGGCAUUGAGCAUUUAAAUUGAGUAAUGACAAUGGUUGUGCAGUGCGAUGAAAACCUUCAAUGCUGAAACUGGUAGGGUUAACAAACUGCCUAAAGUGAAAUCGCUUCCGGGCGUACCUAAACAACCAGGUGGAGUUGAGUGUGGCUAUCAUGUUAUGCGAUACAUGAAAGAGAUCAUAGAGGAUGAGACACUUUCAUUUCAUACCAAGUGGGCGGUAAAGACGCGGAAGUCAUAUAGCCAAAAUCAAAUUGACGAGGUGCGCAUUGAAGUGGCUGAUUAUAUGCAGAGUUUGAUGUAGGAUUGUGACUGCCAAGAUGUUUUUUGAGUAAG